rnacentral:rRNA from 1 species
UACAGAGGUGGCAAGCGUUGUUCGGAAUUACUGGGCGUAAAGGGCGCGUAGGCGGUCUCGUAAGUCUCGUGUGAAAUCCCUCGGCUUAACUGAGGAACUGCACGGGAUACUGCUUGACUUGAGUUCGGGAGAGGGAAGCGGAAUUCCGGGUGUAGCGGUGGAAUGCGCAGAUAUCAGGAGGAACACCGGUGGCGAAGGCGGGAUCCUGGGCCAGUACUGACGCUGAGGAGCGAAAGCGUGGGGAGCAAACAGG